CUGACUACCAGUGGGGAAGGAUCUCUUUCUGGAGAUCCCUCCUUUUGGAGUUUUCCAGCAAGCCCAGGACAAGGGAUAUGGCAUGUAAACUAUUGGAAAUUAAAGCAAGAAACAAAGAAACCUACAAACCAAGUCUUAAUAUCAGUCCGGACACAGAGCCAAACUGUAAAUGGCAUUUAGAUGUUGAAAGACCAGGUUGGGAAAAUGGGAGAAGACCACACUGAGUAAACUUGGAACUAAAUCUGUAGUGACUGUUAGCUGUAAACAAGCAACUGGCUCCAGUCCCGUGCUGUCAGAAGUCUGUAGUAUGUUUUACCUUAGUCAGCAUAACACAGCUGCCUGGUCAAGUUCAUUAAAAAGAUAUCUAAAGCCUAA